rnacentral:rRNA from 1 species
GAUGAACGCUGGCGGCGUGCCUAAUACAUGCAAGUCGAGCGAACAGAUAAGGAGCUUGCUCCUUUGACGUUAGCGGCGGACGGGUGAGUAACACGUGGAUAACCUACCUAUAAGACUGGGAUAACUUCGGGAAACCGGAGCUAAUACCGGAUAACAUAUUGAACCGCAUGGUUCAAUAGUGAAAGGCGGCUUUGCUGUCACUUAUAGAUGGAUCCGCGCCGCAUUAGCUAGUUGGUAAGGUAACGGCUUACCAAGGCAACGAUACGUAGCCGACCUGAGAGGGUGAUCGGCCACACUGGAACUGAGACACGGUCCAGACUCCUACGGGAGGCAGCAGUAGGGAAUCUUCCGCAAUGGGCGAAAGCCUGACGGAGCAACGCCGCGUGAGUGAUGAAGGUCUUCGGAUCGUAAAACUCUGUUAUCAGGGAAGAACAAAUGUGUAAGUAACUGUGCACAUCUUGACGGUACCUGACCAGAAAGCCACGGCUAACUACGUG